AUGAGACAUCUUAAAGAAGAAAAAGUGCCAACAAGAAAAGAAAGUCUUCAGUUACACAAUGUAACAAAAGGAGAAGAUUCUGAAGAUGUACCAACUUCAAAGAAGGCUAAAGAAGAAGCUGAAGAUGUAUCUUCCACAAAGAAGCAGAAAACCCCCAUCAGCUUCUUCCAGUGUGUCUACUUGGAUGGAUACAAUGGCUAUGGAUUUCAGUUUCCUGUCACUCCUGCGCACCACCCUGGAGAGAGCCCUGGCCAACCAAAUUCUCCAGGACAGAAGCAACGACAAUAA
rnacentral:lncRNA from 1 species